GUCUGAUGUCAUACGACCCUGAACACACUCGAUCUCCUCUGAUCUCAGAAGCUAAGCAUCAGGCCUGAUAAAGUACUUGGACUGGAGAAAUACCCUGCUACUAAAGACA
rnacentral:rRNA from 1 species